rnacentral:rRNA from 1 species
GAUGAACGCUGGCGGCGUGCCUAAUACAUGCCAGUCGAGCGGAAAGACGCGUUUCUUGCUCCUCUGACGUUAGCGGCGGACGGAACAGUAAAACAUGGUUAACCUACCUAUAGGACUAGGAUAACAUAGGGAAACCAAAACUAGUACCGGAUACUUUAUUGAUGCGGGUGGUUGGAUAGUGAAAGCGGGUUUUGAUGUAACUUAUGGAUAUAUCCGCGCCGCUUUAGCGUGUGGGUAAGGUAACUGCUUACUAGGGCAACGGUGGGUAACCGACCUGAUAGGGGGAUCGGGCACAGUGGAGCUGAGACACGGUCCAGACUCUGACGGGAGGCAGCAGCAGGGACUCGUCCGCGAUGGGCGAAAGCCUGACGGAGGAGCGCAGCGUGAAUGAUGAAGGUCUGCGGACGGGAAAACACUGUUAGUGGUGAAGAACAAAUUCGGAAGUAACUAUGCACGUCUUGACGGUACCUGAACAGAAAGCAACGGCUAACUACGUG